GACCACGAACGUCCUGUCCGAUGACGACGGGACGGCUGCGAAAGCCGAAGUGGUAUGAAUCCUGGGGUCGGAGGUUCGAAUCCUCUCGUGGACACCA
rnacentral:tRNA from 1 species